CGAUUCUCGUGAUCUUUACGUCUGUGAGAUCGUAGCGAUGCGUAGAAUCAUUUUAUAAGCUUUUCUUACUGUUUUUAUAUGAUUGGUGUACUGUUCUAAUUGUAGCCUUGUUUGCUUCGUGUAUGUUUGGCCUCGAUUGUUUGUAUGUUGAUGAUCGAUGAUCGGAAUUAGAUGGUAAACAAUUCGUGGUGAACAAGAGUACUUCAUUGAACAAGAUCAGAGCCUUGGACAACUAGCAGGAUCAGCAAGAGCAAAUGGAUUAAGGCAAGUAU
rnacentral:lncRNA from 1 species